AUACGUAGGUGGCAAGCGUUGUCCGGAAUUAUUGGGCGUAAAGCGCAUGUAGGCGGUUUGGUAAGUCGGUCGUGAAAAUGCGGUGCUUAACGCCGUAUGGCGAUUGAAACUGCUGAACUUGAGUGCAGGAGAGGAAAGGGGAACUCCCAGUGUAGCGGUGAAAUGCGUAGAUAUUGGGAAGAACACCGGUAGCGAAGGCGCCUUUCUGGACUGUGUCUGACGCUCAGAUGCGAAAGCCAGGGUGGCGAACGGGAUUAGAUCCCCCGGUAGUCCUGGCCGUAAACGAUGGGUACUAGGUGUGGGAGGUAUCGACUCCUUCCGUGCCGGAGUUAACGCAAUAAGUACCCCGCCUGGGGAGUACGGCCGCAAGGCUUAAACUCAAAGGAAUUGACGGGG
rnacentral:rRNA from 1 species